rnacentral:rRNA from 1 species
GACGAACGCUGGCGGCGUGCUUAACACAUGCAAGUCGAACGGAAAGGCCUGCUUUCCCUUGUGGAUUGCGGGUACUCGAGUGGCGAACGGGUGAGUAACACGUGAGUGAUCUGCCCCCAACUUGGGUAUAAGCCUGGGAAACUGGGUCUAAUUCCCGAUAGGACUGCAGGGUGGUGCCUGUGGUGGAAAACGAUUUUCUAGUGGUUGGGGAUGAGCUCGCGGCCUAUCAGCUUGUUGGUGGGGUAAUGGCCUACCAAGGCGGCGACGGGUAGCCGGCCUGAGAGGGGGGACGGCCACAUUGGGACUGGGAUACGGCCCAGACUCCUACGGGAGGCAGCAGUGGGGAAUAUUGCACAAUGGGCGGAAGCCUGAUGCGGCGACGCCGCGUGGGGGAUGACGGCCUUCGGGUUGUAAACUCCUUUCGACCGCGAGGAAGCCACCUGGUUGGAAGGGUGGUGACGGUAGUGGUAGAAGAAGCACCGGCUAACUACGUG